GGGAAAUGCAAAUUAGGACCACAAUGAGAUACCAUUUUAUACUGACUAGGAUGGUUAUAAUUAAAGAGACAAAUAUUGGCAAGAAUGUGGCAAAAUUGGAUCCCUCAUACAUUGUUGGUGGCAACAUAAAAUGGUGUGGCCACAUUGGACAACAGUCUGGCAGUUCCUCAAAAAGUUAAACAUAGAGUUACCAUAUGACUCAGCAAUUCCACUUCCAGGUUUAUACCCAGGUAUAUAAGAGAAAUGAAAACAUAUGUCUAUACAAAAACUUGUACAUGAAUGUUCAUAGCAGGACUAUUUACAAUAGUCAAAAGGUAGAAACAGCCCAAAAGUUCAUUAACUGAUAAUGGAUAAACA
rnacentral:lncRNA from 10 species